CAAACAAAAACAAAACAAAACAAAACAGUAUCUCAUGUUUCUUAUUGGCUGUGACCAAGUAACUUCAUUGCUUUCAACCUUGGAUCUGCUCACCUGUAGAACUGAGACAUUAUUUGUUGUGAGAUUUAAAAAAGAAACAUGUUCAUUUCCUUCCUUUGGGGCUCGGAAGGAAUCAGAUGGGCGUCUUGCAGCUCCGAUCCUGAUGAAGAAUUGUAGCUGCUGUGCCUUAAGACAGAUAAGCACAGGUCGUCCCAGUGGGGAUGCCACCUUGGGGACUGUGAACCUCCGCUGAGGCCAGGCCGUGCCCUGCCCUGUGUCUGUAUCUGGAACUGCGGGAUUUCUCUGAUCUGCCAGGGAAAGGCCUGCCACCUCGUGGCCACUUCAGGAACUGCUCCAAAGGCAGUCUGCUCUUGGGAACCUACCUGGUCAGGUAGCUCCCUGAGGUCUGGAACUGCACCGCAGUGCAAGUUAUCUUCACGUGGAGGUGAAGCUGCCUGUAUGGAAGACUCUUGGAUCAGUCGUCUGAGCACAUGUCCAGCAAUGGGCAUGGGUGGGCUAGCCAGGGACUGGGGGUGCCGGAAGAGCCGACUGUACAGCACGUGGUGCCCCUAACAAGGAUUGAGUGGUGUUUUUAAAAAGAAAAAAAGGUCGUGCAGAUGGUCUGACAGUCUGUCGACCGUGGGCGUGGUGCUCAUAGCAGCUGAGCACUGCCGGGGUACCAGGCUGUGUGCUGGGUGCUUCAAAGAUGUCCUCUUGUGGAUCAGCCCAUCUGUGGCCAGGAGGGGACCAGGCUCAGCCAGGUUAGGUGACUUGCACAAGGUCAUGUGGGUGAAAGGAAGGCAGAACUCUUGUGUAUUUCUCCUGACCCCAGAUUCUGCGUCAGGGCUGAAGCCAGAACCCACACGUGUCCAGCGCAGGGUGAUUGCUGCCAUGAGCUGCAUUGCUGUGAUCCUUUGGCGAGGGCGUGGAUUUUCAUCCUUUUAUUCAAUUUUGAAAGAAGCAAAUUGAGAAAGAUACGAUAUGAUGGGUGUGGCAGACGGAAUUCUAAAGGUGGGCCCACUGAUUCGUACCCCUGGCUGUUCAGUUAAACACUAGCCUAGGUGCUGCUGUGCAGGGACUUUGACGAAGGAAUGAAAGUCCCAAGCCAUCGGACCUUGACAUCAGAGAUUAUCUGGUGGGCUUGACCUCAUGAGCCUAAUGAAAGCAGGGAGCUUUCCAGCUGUCAGCAGAAAAGAAGGUCAAAUUCAAUGUGUGAGAAAGGCUGGAAUUAACAUUGCUGGUUUGAAGGAGGAGGGGUUGUGUGAGAAGGUGUGUGAGUGACUUACAGGAGCAGAGAGUGGCCCCCAGCCAUGGAAUGAGGACCCCGGGUCUGCAGUCGCCAGGAGCUGGACUUUCAGGGCCACCUGAAUGCACCCAGAAGCGGAUUCUCCUCCAGAGCCUCCAGUUGCUAUAAUCAACAUCCCUGGACCCAUCGCGCAGAAGAAACCGAGGUUCCCAGGUUAAGAGACUUGCCUGGAAAAGGGUUAACUGACAGCUUGGCAGCAGAGCCACUGCUCCUUCCCCCUUGCAUGCUGGUUCCAAACCGAAAAUGAUGUUCUGGGCCUUGCACAGAGGAGUGCUUGGUGAACAUUUGGUGGAGGAUACGGAAACCCACGUGGAUUCCAGGUGCUGACUUUUGUGCCACUACAGAGUCCAGAGUACAUUAGGAAGACGAUGCCAACCACCACCAUCUAUUGACUUACUCAACAUUUACUGCACACCUACUGUGUGCAGGGGUCCUGGGGACCCCAUAGAUGAAAACAUAAGCACAUGAUCAAAUGUAAAGCUGGGCUUCGUCUAUUACAGCGGGUACCGUACAGUUUUACAAUCGUGUACCUAAAACAACCUGGACAAGGCACGGGAUUGAUUUUCAAUUUUGUAAAACAGAGCAAAAGUGCUUUUAUUGAUGUUUCUUUUCUUUUUCCUGAGAUCUUAUGUCCCUAGACAGAACUAUAAAAUGUUUUUUAUAUUAAAGGUCUGUGCCUCAGAUUUUAAAAAUAUCUGUAGAAUGUGUAGUAAAGUUAUCCAUUUCAUUUGUGAUAAUGGUCAUUUUUAUUUUCUCUUUUGUUCCUGAUCAAUCUAACUAGAAUUUAUAAAUUUAACAAUUUUCUC